GCAAGCGUUGUUCGGAAUUACUGGGCGUAAAGGGCGCGUAGGCGGCCUUCUAAGUCAGACGUGAAAUCCCCCGGCUUAACCUGGGAACUGCGUCUGAUACUGGGAGGCUAGAGUAUGGGAGAGGGAUGCGGAAUUCCAGGUGUAGCGGUGAAAUGCGUAGAUAUCUGGAGGAACACCGGUGGCGAAGGCGGCAUCCUGGACCGACACUGACGCUGAGGAGCGAAAGCCAGGGGAGCAAACGGG
rnacentral:rRNA from 1 species